ensembl:lncRNA
CCUUGGUUCAUCAUAUUGUUUGGCUCAUCGAUCAGCUGUGAUGUGUAUACUUGAAUCUCUUAUGUAAGAGAUAUAUAUAUUUUACAAAUUCUGCAAGGGGUACAUAAACUGCUUAUGAAUUAAUGGAUAAUUUCAUAAUGUCCAAGUACUGUCAUACAGUGUACUCUCCCAUCAUCAGUAAAGUGUACAUGCUUUAAGUGUGCACUAGAAGUAUGUAAAUUGGGAUGCAGCUAAUGAUUUAGUUAUUCUUAAUUUUAAGAUGAAGUGAGAUUACAUGAUGAGCCAUGACCCAAGAAAAUGAAGGAACGCAAGCAGAGGAGCAAUCAGAUCUUUUGUAGAAUCCAUCCCAUGUGUUUGUAGUUUUUCUGUCUGUUUGUGGACUGUAUAGAAACCGCUGUUGUGUGGAUGUUGUCUGGAGAUGGGUGCAUCAUUAACUGCGGAGCAGGAACUGUUGAUAAGACCCCGCCCUGCCAGCGACGUCUGUGUGCUGGAAAAUUGCACACGCUGUGGGAAGAGAGGAUGACGGCUGGUCAUCACAGUGGCAUCAGAGGCCUUCGACACAGAUAUGUCCUGCUGUGCAGGAUGAUGUGAGGGGAGGCCCCAGUAUUGUAAUGCACAUGAACUGUGUGUGUGUUUGAGUAGACAUAAGAGUUAAGCAUUAUUAGCAGAUUUGCACUUUCGUUUUUGUUUUUAAUUUACUUUAAAAGAGACAUAACUACUAUUCUUUGUCAGAGCAUCAUGAUGAACUCCAAUACAGAUUGUCUUUUUUUUUGUCCUUUGAGAAAUUCAGACAUCCUACUAAAUUCUACUUUUGUGGAAAACAAAUGAUGAGAAGAGAAAGAAAAGUAUUGAGUGUCUGUAAUACCUGUUUGCAGCAGGACUUCAUAAAUGUUUGCAUUUGUAAUACUGGAGAAUGAAUCUAGUUCCUUUAAGACCAGAACUUAUGAGUAGUGAAUCUAUGAGAUGGAUACUGAGUGGUACAGAUGAACUAGAAGUUUCUGUACGUUGUACAGAUAUUGUUCCAGAAAAUUAUUCUAAUUAUUCAGGGGUGUGAUUACUUUGAUUAAAGCUUUUUUCUGUUUAAACACUUGUGUAAUCUGUGUUCUCCUCCAAAAAUGCAUAAAACACGAAGAAUGAGCGCUUGAGUGUAAGACUAAAGAGACCUGUGCAUCCCCAGCUAGUCCAAAGUAGCAGAAGCUGAAUGGACUUUAAUGGUGGUAUAUGUGCUCUUUGUUCUGGUCCGCAGCUGUGUUAGUCACACGAUGUGCAGCUCUACUCUAAUGUGUUGCAGGUACUGACUGUUUACAUCUGUGUAAAUACUCUCAUCUGUUCAUGUGUGUGCAAUGGUCAAUAAACAGAAGCCUGCGCUUUAGAUUAAA